rfam:Ovis aries breed Texel chromosome 2, whole genome shotgun sequence.
UUCCUGGUGGCUCAGUUGCUAAAGAAUCUGCCUGCAAUGCAGGAGACCCAGGUUCAAUCCCUGGGCUGGGUUA